GCGUCCUCCAGAGCUUUGUAGUAGUCCUGAAACAGAAGAACAGCAGACGUUCACCAGAACAGAACAUCUGGAAGGUUCUGGGUCCAGCCGCUCCCACCUUCUUGAUGAUCUCCAUCUGCUCCUCUCUCCACUCCGGCUUGUUCUUCUUGGCGUUGACGAAGAACUCUGUGACCUUCUGCUCCAGCUGG